rnacentral:tRNA from 1 species
GGGGGGAUGGCUCAGUGGUCAAGAGCACUGACUGCUCUUCCAGAGGACCUGGGUUCAAAUUCCUAGCACCCACA